AAUCACGUAUACUUCGUCUAUACAAUACUUAUUUACUACGUGUUGAAAUUUAUUGGUAGACUCGCUAUUCCACGUACCUAUCUAUUUAAUCGUGUUCAGUAGUGAUGCGGAAAAACUCGCACAAACAAGCUCUUAAUGAAUUUAAAAACAAAAGAUCAUAGAAUUUGACUGCAAAUAGGCCAUACACGAAUUGAACUAGAUCUUCAGCUAAAAUCGAAAGGCGAUUGUGUUCACAAAGUUGCUUCUACAACUAUCGAGCCUUUUAUUCUGCAACUUCUUUUCUUACUCUUCAAUCUGUUUUUAGACAAUAAACUUUUUUUCACAGAAAUGCAGAAUAUAUCGCAACAAAGACACUAAUUUCAAAAUAUGGCAUUCGCUUUGUUUACGUUGUCUAUACAAAGUAUAGAGCGUCUGGCCCUUCGAAACACAGCCAGGCGCGCACAUUGUUUCGAUUAUCGUACUGUAGCUGUCGCAUCUGAGAUGAAUGUUCCUGUAGCUUACCUUUCUUCACUCAGUAGAGUAGCGUUCGUUGCUGUAAACAGCUGUUUAAUUUGCUAGUCUCUACAACGCAUCCAGCAAAAAUUAGCAAAUCAUGACGUCGCCAUCGAAAGAAAAGGUUACAUUUAAAGAUCUGCUCGAGCGUGAGUUGCGCGACGAACGAUUCUUCGCAAAAGUCAAGUCUGCAUGUAGUUCCCGUGAUCUCAUAACCGAAACCAUCGCGGUUGAUACUAUUUUUUCAUUGAUUAAAGAGAUCCCUAUCAUCCAAGAGCUCGUAGAUGAACUUGAAAAAAUUUCCAACAAAUUUAUAAGGUACACGGAAAUCAAAUAUAUGGUCAUCGAAGUGAGUCGUGCGAUAUCAACGCAUAUGAAGUUUGAUCGUCAUGGAUGUUUCACACCUGAAUGUAAAAAAGCAUUGAAAGAUCUUUUGAAUUCACUUGCCUUAUCAAUUAAAAAGCAAAGAGAUGCAAGAAUUGUAGAAGAUCUCAAAACAACUACAGAAGAUAGCUCUGAAAGACCUAGACCUGAACUUAUGUGAAUUACUACUAAUAUAUUGAAAAAUGUUUUACAGUGCAUUUGUGGUAAUGUUUGUACUGCGUAGAUACAAUGUAAACAAUAUAAAAGUAUUUGUAUCACUAAACUACUGUUAAUUUCCCAAAAUAUGCCUACAUUUAGUCUUCGUUCUGCUUGAUAAAUGUACGUACAGUCAUGUUGUAAUAUAUCUAUGGUCAUCAAAAGAUUAAACUAAUAAUUUAAAACAAAUUUGUACUACUUUCUUGUGUUAUAGCUAACUUAUCAAUUCUGUAUAAUACUUGUUACAUAUAAUAAACAUCUUUUUCAACGAAAAAUAGAGCAAUAAAAUAAAUUUGGUUAUGAAUUUCA